ensembl:ncRNA C11G10.6 ncRNA
ACAAAAGAAAGUGCAGGGCGGGAAAGUGCUAGAAGCGAGAAAAUAGCAAAUGAUCGCCACAUUCUGAGUUCAUUGUGAAUGAGAAUGAGUAUGAGAAUGAGGAUGACUAUGAGAAUGAGACACGAGGACAAGAAAUAGCAAGUGUUUCGGGGAAGCGUUAUCAAAACACAUAAAAAGAGAAGCGCCGGAAAGAAGAAAAAUGCUGCUCGUUCAUCAAAGUGACGACUGAACAGGUCACGGCAUUUAACUUUGGCGCAUCGGUAGUAGC